UACGUAGGAGGCGAGCGUUGUUCGGAUUUACUGGGCGUAAAGGGCGCGCAGGCGGUCUUGUAAGUCAGGCGUGAAAGCCCCGGGCUUAACCUGGGAAUUGCGCUUGAUACUCUGAGACUGGAGUACGGGAGAGGAGAGUGGAAUUCCCAGUGUAGAGGUGAAAUUCGUAGAUAUUGGGAAGAACACCAGUGGCGAAGGCGGCUCUCUGGACCGUAACUGACGCUGAGGCGCGAAAGCGUGGGGAGCAAACAGG
rnacentral:rRNA from 1 species